UGGGGAAUCUUGCGCAAUGGGCGAAAGCCUGACGCAGCGACGCCGCGUGAGUGAUGAAGGCCUUCGGGUUGUAAAGCUCUGUGGAGGGGGACGAAUAAGGGUCGGUGAACAUCCGGCUCGAUGACGGUACCCCUUUAGCAAGCACCGGCUAACUCUGUGCCAGCAGCCGCGGUAAGACAGAGGGUGCAAACGUUGUUCGGAAUUACUGGGCGUAAAGCGCGUGUAGGCUGCUCGGAAAGUCGGAUGUGAAAGCCCUGGGCUCAACCUAGGAAGUGCAUUCGAAACUUCCGAGCUGGAGUGCUGGAGAGGAAGGCGGAAUUCUCGGUGUAGAGGUGAAAUUCGUAGAUAUCGAGAGGAACACCGGUGGCGAAGGCGGCCUUCUGGACAGCUACUGACGCUGAGACGCGAAAGCGUGGGGAGCAAACAGG
rnacentral:rRNA from 1 species